rnacentral:rRNA from 1 species
UACGGAAUGCGCAAACGUUAUUCGGAAUCACUGGGCUUAAAGAGUAAGUAGGCGGCAUGUUGGGUGAGGUGUGAAAUCCCCCGGCUCAACCGAGGAAUUGCGCUUCAAACCGGCGUGCUUGAGGAAGAUAGAGGUGGGCGGAACUGAUGGUGGAGCGGUGAAAUGCGUUGAUAUCAUCAGGAACACCGGAGGCGAAGGCGGCCCACUGGGUCUUUUCUGACGCUGAGGGACGAAAGCUAGGGGAGCGAACGGG